GAAGGAUGUGUUUGCUUCUCCUUCCACCAUGAUUGUAAGUUUCCUGAGGCCUCCCCAGCCAUGCUCAACUGCUGUUCUGAUCAUGAUCAAGCCCAAGACAGAGCGAUGGGCGUGGCUUCCCCAAAGGUGUUUAUGAAUCCAAAAUCUGAGAGAGAGAAGACAAGAUGAAGUCACAGUCUAGUCAUUGCCUCAACACCAGUCAUUCCUACUCCCACCCAGACAACAUCAUCUCCACUCCCAAGCCCGAAAUGCUCCCUGCCAUGCCUUCGAGGCUGAGGUCUGGGAAGAAAACUCUAAGAAGAGAGAAAAGGGCACCAGUAUGGAGACCCUAGAAUAUAAAAAGCAGACUUAGCCUGUCUAACCUGUUCCUUGACUUGGCCAUGAUCCCAGGAAUGGAGGAAGGAUCUUCCUUUUCUUCCUCCUCCUGGAGAGGCAUCAGAGCAUGGGCCCUGGCUCUGUUACUCCCUGGCUGGGGAAGUUACUUACCUACUCCGUGUCUCAGUUUUACUUAUCUCUAAAAGGGGUAGAGUAACAGCACUCACUGGAGUGGAGUGUGGUUAUGCCUCCCAGCCUCUCCUUCAGAACUAGGUUACUUAUUCCCUCAGCUGCAAGGAGUGUUAGCUGCGGACUGCUCACAACGGAGUCUCUUCUAGGGAUUGCCCUCAACCGAAGGAAGCUGCAUUGCCCAAGAUGAGAUCCCCUCGCUGGGGCAUCCUGCAUCCAAUGACAAGUCAGUGGGGCGUACGAAGGCCUGGCUUCCUCAUCUCGAUUGGACAUCUCCAAAGGGCCAUCCCAGUUUCUGAUCUCCCCGUAGAAUCUCCUGAAGCCUCUGUUGUGACUGCAUCAGAGCCCAACCUCUCUCUCUACCCAAUCCAGUCUCCUUUCCUUCUCACAGGUGUUGUUCCCAAAACUCAGUAAACUGCCUACACGCAAA
rnacentral:lncRNA from 1 species